AUGUCUGGGCAAACUUCUUUAGGUCUCUGCUAGUUGAUUAACUUGUAGAAGCUAAAAUCAACUGACAAAUUCAAUUAUACAUCCAAAUUAUAUUUCCAAACUGACUUAAUUUUUUUUAAGUGAUGAAUGCACCUUAAGGGAAAAAUUCCAUUAAAAUAUGAACUUUCUUGUACAGCAGAAAUUAAGUCUCAGCACGUACAGGAUGCCUGUGAACCCAGGCUUCCCAAUUUCUGUAGCUUCACAGGAUUGGUUUAAUGAACAGACAUGUCUGGCUUACAGGCCAACCAUAAGACAAUUUGCUGUCUAGGAAGGGAAGAAAGCUUAUAUUAGAAAGUGAAAAGAAUAGCUCUGAGAACAUAGUGAGACUCUUCUGAGACUCCACACUAGCAAUGGAGACCAUAAACAGAGAGCACUGUUUGUCAACAAACUCUCUCUCAAGGUACAGAAUUUGUUAAUUGACUGCCUGGUUGGAGUAAUUUAGAGAGAAGCCACUGCUGAUUGCACAAGGCAUUUCCUACUUAUACAGUUGCAGAGUGAUAGAUAAUGUGUUACUUAACAUCUGCCCCUCUGUAGACUUCCUGUACCAUAGACAGAGAAGAGAGAGCAGUGUUCCUCAUGUGCUCUCCUAUUAGAGUGUGAACCACAGUCCGCAGCUGAACUGCAAAUCUCAAUUUUUAUGGAAUAACUUGGAACCUGGACUGCUAUAUAAAAAUUGAUUUUUACACAAAAUGGAAAUUAGCCAUUUUUUCCUACAAAUGCUAUUGAAAAAAAUAGUCUGUUUGAGUGAUAUAAGAUUAUAAAGCAUACUGACCUUUCUCUCUUUUGUUCUUUACUGAUAAAUUAGCAAGACAUAAAACGUUCCAUAAAUAUUACAUUUAAACUCUAAGUGCAAUUUAUCUAAAUCUUUUUUUUUACUAAUAAUAUAUUAUCUAAAUCUUGUUUUGUUUUGUUUUGUUUGUUUUUUGUUUUUUUGUUUUUUAAGACAGGGUUUUUCUGUGUAGCCUGGCUGUUCUGGAACUCACUCUGUAGACCAGGCUAGCCACAAACUCAGAAAUCCACCUGCCUCCGCCUCCCAAGUUCUGGGGUUAAAGGCAUGCAUCACCACUGCCCAGGCUAAAUCUUUUUUUUUUUUUUGACUAGUAAUCAUUUUCAUUGUCAAAAAUGACAUGGUAGAUUAAAAUUUCAUAGUAUUAAUAGAUUUUUCUGUAUUUCAGUUUAUUACACAUUAUUAUUUAAAUGUUACCUGUAUUGUUUAAUUAUUGAAAUUGACUCAUAGAAGGAGUCCACUCAACUAGACAUCCUUAAGAUAGCUCUAACACAAGUCAAAAGACUUGGAAAAUUUAAUUUCUUCCUAAGUGGCAUCUUUGAGCAUUCUGCUAGGUUGUUGCAGAUAAAAGAGAUAUUAAAAAUGUAAAAACAAAACACAGCAAGUGUGGUGAGACUAGGAUUAAGUCCUGGACUCCAUAGCCAAAGGUUUCUAAAUUUCUUCAAUGGAGAAUACUUAUCAUAGAAGUAUUAUUAAAGGAACAAUGAACAAGAAUUGAUGUGAGAAUGAUCAUAGCUCAGUCCCAAUGAUAAUAGAUUAAAAGUCGGCCCCACGAACCAACCAGUGGGUGGAUGAACUUCAUGAGGUACAUGCAUCUGAUAACUUAUAUGGAAAGAAAAGAAAUGAAUUGUUCACAUAGUCUACAACAUAAAGAAAUCUUUGCAGGGGCAAAGGAUCAUUUUAUGAUUAUAAUUUCAUGAACUACACAGCAGAGAAAAUCCAUAGAGAUGGAAGGUAGCUAUGUAGUUGUCAGGAUUUGAGAAUUUGGACUGUCAGAUGGGAAGCAACUUGUAUUAGGCAUGAGGUUUCUUCUCCAAGCGAUAAAAAUACCUUAUACAUAGAUGUAGAUUGCUGUAACGAUUGCACAAUUGUGGCCACACAAAGAACGAUCAGAUUGUGCCUUUAAAGAGGGCGAAUUUUGACCAUGCAAAUUAUGCCUUAACAAGAUGUUGAAAAAGACAAUGUUAAAUGAUUCAGUCACUAAAUGUCACAGUGAUCCUCUAUUCCCCUUCAUUUUAAGACAUUGAAUAAAUGGUCCUUAAAUACAAAAUCAGGCAAUUUGGAUAUUUGUUUGCUGAGGGAUCACAUUUGUUCUAGAGUUCUAAGAGAAGCUUUUCAUUUCCUUUUUUUUUUUAACAUAUUCUCUUACUGCAGUUUGAGACAUUAUCAUGAGUUGAGUAAACUAAAAAUCAGUUUUAAUUUUACAUUCUUAUAAAGGUGCACACUUGUGUGUGUGUGCUUCUCUCUGUGUGUAGGCUUCUGUGUGUAAAUGAACCAUGUACAUGCAGAAGGUAGAGGUCAAAAGACAACUUGUGGGAGUUGGCACUUCUCUUUCACUUUGUGGGUCUCUGGGGUCAAAGUGCAGUCAUCAAGCUUAUAGUCAAUUGUUUUCACUUGAGCCAUCUUACUUAGUGGCCAUAGAUAUUUGCUUUUAAAUAUAAUGUGGCAGAAAUAGUGCUAUAAUUUUCAAGGAAGGUUUAUUGAGUCUCUAAACUUACAUCCACUUAUUCUUAAUGUUAUUAUAGUUACUGGCAUUAUCAUUCUGGAAUUGUUUUUUAAAAGGUUGUGAUGAUCCCUCUUGAGAACUGAUAAUAAGUAUUUGAAUCUUAAUUUGCAUUUUGAGCUAUGCCCAAAUGUAUUUGAUUUCAAAGAUGUAAUCAUGUUGAGCUGUGUCUUUGAGAUUCAAAGGCCAAUAUCUCUCAGGCUUUACUCAAAAGAGGACUUCAAAUUAUUUUGAGUAGUAGCUAUGAAGUUAAUUUGAUAUUUGACAUAUUUUCUUUCUAUAUCAAAUGUUGUCAUCUUAGAGGCUCAAUAUAGGUAGGCAGGGUAGCAGUAGUAAAUUGUAGCUAGUAUCAUAGGAACUUGUGAGCAGAGGUGGCUCUCUAAGGCCUUGCCAAAACUACAGCGAUCACAAUUGGCCACAGUAAAUGGAGCUCAAGGAGAUAAGGAAAAAGUCCAGAGACCUACUCACUACUGGAUGAAAUUAUGAACCUCAACAUUAAGAAUCUGCUUACCCUAUCAGCUGCCUGCUUAAAGAGAGGACAUUAGAUGUCAUUAAGAUUUCCAGGUAGGAAGGUUUUACCUACCUACAUGCCAUUUUCAUAUCCUUAGCAAAUCUCCUAUGCUGGAGGACAGUUUCUCAUG
rnacentral:lncRNA from 1 species